GACGAACGCUGGCGGCGUGCUUAACACAUGCAAGUCGAACGGAAAGGCCCUGCUUUUGUGGGGUGCUCGAGUGGCGAACGGGUGAGUAACACGUGAGUAACCUGCCCUUGACUUUGGGAUAACUUCAGGAAACUGGGGCUAAUACCGGAUAGGAGCUCCUGCUGCAUGGUGGGGGUUGGAAAGUUUCGGCGGUUGGGGAUGGACUCGCGGCUUAUCAGCUUGUUGGUGGGGUAGUGGCUUACCAAGGCUUUGACGGGUAGCCGGCCUGAGAGGGUGACCGGCGACAUUGGGACUGCGAUACGGCGCAGACGGCUACGGGGGACAGCAGGGGGGAGUAUUGCACAAUGGGGGGGAGCCUGAGACAGCGGCGUCGCGGGCGUGAAGUCGGCCUUCGGGGGGUAAACCGAGUUCGGCUGUUACGAAGCGUGAUUGACGGUAAUGGGAAAAGAAGCACCGGCUAACUACGUG
rnacentral:rRNA from 1 species